rnacentral:rRNA from 1 species
CCUACGGGUGGCAGCAGUGAGGAAUAUUGGUCAAUGGACGAGAGUCUGAACCAGCCAAGUAGCGUGAAGGAUGACUGCCCUAUGGGUUGUAAACUUCUUUUAUAUGGGAAUAAAACGUUCCACGUGUGGGAUUUUGUAUGUACCAUAUGAAUAAGGAUCGGCUCACUCCGUGCCAGCAGCCGCGGUAAUACGGAGGAUCCGAUCGUUAUCCGGAUUUAUUGGGUUUAAAGGGAGCGUAGGUGGAUUGUUAAGUCAGUUGUGAAAGUUUGCGGCUCAACCGUAAAAUUGCAGUUGAAACUGGCAGUCUUGAGUACAGUAGAGGUAGGCGGAAUUCGUGGUGUAGCGGUGAAAUGCUUAGAGAUCACGAAGAACUCCGAUUGAGAAGGCAGUUCACUGGACUGCAACUGACACUGAGGCUCGAAAGUGUGGGUAUCAAACAGGAUUAGAUACCCCUGUAGUC